UAAAAUCUUAGUGAAGCAUUAGCACAUGAUCCAUAAAUAUAUACAGAUUCCAAAAAUUGAGAAAAUAUGUAUAUAAAUUCUUUUAAAAUUUUAUAAUCCAUAAAAUCUCAAGACAGGUUUUGUAAGCAGGAUUUGAUCAAUGUUUCAGUUUUUGUGCUAGUUGGCUAGUUGGUGUAAGUUUCUAUAAGGAUUAUGUAGUUUGUAAAUAUUUUAGGCUGAGGCAAACUUUGUGUGCCUAUCCUCGUAUAUUAAGCCAUCAUAGACUUAUAGAUUGAGGAACCAAAAAAAAUAAAGCAUGGUUUGUGGAGGAGGAAUAUGCUGUUUUCCUUCCCGUUUCCUAUCAUACCACUUACUGGAAGCAGCAACAUCAAGCCUCUGAACGUAUCCCAAGCUCUCACUACUGGCCUCAUGUCUAUAGAUAUAACAAGGUACUGUAUUGUUUUCGACUCGCUUAGUUUGCGUUUCCGGUCUUCUUUCCUGGUUUUGAUCUUUGGUUCCAGACUCCAGCCUUUUAGAGAACAUGGCAAAGAAGGAACAAAUGCAAUAACUCACUCACUCAUUUCUGCUUCUUGAUCAUUAUUUCCAUAUAUGACAAAAUAGUCGUCACCAAAAUUUUGUUGUUUGUUUAGUUCACUUUUCCAUACCUGGCUCCUCCUUCACUCUUUGGUAAAUUUUGAGGAAACUGUGAGAUAAUUGUAAUGUGAUGUUUGAUUUAUCGUGAUUCCCUUCUCUGUAUAUAAGAUUGAAUUAAGAGUCUUCGUAAAAAGGGUUUAUUUAGGGAAUAACCAAAAAAAAAUGAUUUUGAAAGAGAGAGAUAGAAAAAGAAAAGAGAGAGGAUGGAAUUUUAGUUAGAUAGUGAAUUAUGAUUUUUUUUUAGGUUAUUGAACCCAAUUUCCCUUGUAAAAACUAUAUGUUCUGCCAAACGGUAAAUGAAUAUAUUUUUCUUGUUUUGCACAUCAGAUCACUUAUGCAUGUUUAUGGAAGCUAUGUUUUGCCAACUAGAAUAAGUAAAAAUAUUUUUAUAUUAGUUCUAAGGCAUUUCUCUUGCUGAUACUUAAGUAUAAUAUCCCAAAUGAGAUUUAUUUGUUAACAAUAUUUGUUUGGUUUCGGUUCCAUGAGAGAUUUGGUUUCAAAACAAGUCCACUUUUCAACUUUGAAAUGAUAAUCACGAGUUAAAUGAGAUAUAACUAUCUAGUGUUCAUAAGUAUCUCUUUUCAAAAUAUAGGUAAACCAGGUGUUUUUCUUGCACCAUAUUUUAAAAGUUUACCAAAAAUAUAAAUUAACAUUAAAUAUAAUUGUCCAUAUCAUAUUAAUCUUAUAAGACAUAUCAUCAAUUUUAGUAGUCAUGUCAUAUUAUUUUUAUGAAAAUAAUUGUAAAAAAGACAUGUGACAAAAUCACUUCUCAAAUAUAGUCUAAGGGAGAACAUCUAAUUAUUACAAAAUCUUUAAUCAAAAUAACAUAUAUACAAAAAGUUAAAAAACACUCUUCUGUUAAUAGUUAAUAAAUUGCCACCUUGUGUAUAUUAUGGACGGAAUAUAAUCAAUUAAAUAUUUUCAUGAAUAUUAUUUUAUACUAAAAUACCAUGAUUUGUUUAAAAAAAACUAAGAAAGCACAUGAAAUAUUCAUUAACAACCAAACCAUAUAUUUGAAGGAUCAUACUAAAAUAAUUUUAAAAACUCUCUAGUUGUUAUAAACGUCGCUUUAUCCGCAUUAUUUGCAACACUUGGCUUCAGGUCAUUUGUCACAUUAUUUUGUAUUUUUUAUGAAUUAAUGUAAAAAAAUUUACGACUAAUCAAUACAAACCGUUAUGCAUAAUACGAGGUUAUCAAUAUUUUAUUAUUUAUUUUAAACUGUAAAAUUGUUUAACUCAUUUAGAUAUAAAUAUAUACAUAUAUAGACGUAUGUACAUAUAUCAUAUCAUGAGUUAACAAUGAAACAUAGAUAUAUAAAAGGUGAAUUAACUAAAACAAAGCAUUUGUUGUUUAUAUAUUCUUCGUUUUAUUUUAUUAGUAGCGACAUUUUUAGUUCUUUAAUAAGAUAGGUAAAUAGGGAUUGUGAAAAGAGUAACAAAAAAGAAAGAAAAUCCUAACUAAUUUAUUGUUAAACGUAAUUUACACGUUCUUUUAGAGGAAUAUGGAUAAUUUGAAAUUAUUAAUAAACAUUCCUUUUAGCUUAAAUUAUUUGAAUAUUGAUAUGAUAAUAUUAAUUUGUGUGAUUCCUUAAAUAUAGGAGUUGUCAAUUUUAAUUUGGAUGAUUUAAUAAUGUUUUAAGAAGAUGGUAUUUGAAGCUAGUGGCAUGGUAACGUAAAUAUUAGGGAAUAUGAUUAAUUUCUAAAAGUACAUUAGAUUUAAUAGAUUAGAUUAACAAAAAAAAAAUUAUGAAAAAUCAUUUAAUUAAACACUAAGUAAUGAUUGCAUAACAAUUUUUUUCUUUUAAAAAUGAAAGGCACAUUUUUUAAUAAAAAAAAGAACUAAAAUCUGUAAAUUAGAAAUAAUAGAGAAAAUUAGUAUUUAUGAAUGGUUUUACAAAAUAUUCACUAACAUAUGAAAAAAUUGCUAUUCUGAUUUUAUUUUGUUUUGUUUUUAAGAAAAGAAAAAAAAUGAAUACGAAACAGAAAUCUAAUUUCAUUAAAGGAAAAACAUAAAAGAAUAUACAAGACAUGCCCACGUGAUGGCCCAUGAAAACAGGCCCUGAUUGGUCGAAAAUAAAAUAAUGAUGUCCCAAUUAAGGAAAUAGACCCUAAACGAUGGUCGAAAGCAAGACAACGAUGAAUCAGGUGAGAGCUACGAUGAUGCAUCAGCUGCGAGCGACGAUGAUGACGAAAGUGCGAGCGACGGCGGCGACAGCGGCGACGGCGAUGAAUCAGGUGCCAGUGACGACUCUAGUGAAGCCAACCACGACUCUUUUUGGUGGGAGAGGGUUCUCAACAAGCUCGUCUGGUUUUUCUGUUGAUUCUGGAGGCUGAUUUAAAGUUUUCAAAAGAGCUACAUCCCGUUUCCUUGUGGAUCGCUUGACGAGGAGGUGCGAGAACAACCCGGUGAUAGGAAGCAGAUGUAAACUGAUUCGGUCUGUACAAAUAAAAUAAAAUUAAAAAAAAGUAUCCAAGGUUAAGCAAGAAUUAUUCUUUUAUUCCUGAUCUCCCUCUCGAUUUCUCUGUAUUCGUGAUUAUAGUCUUGUUUGUGUCUUCGAGAUAUGCAGUAUUGUCGGAAAGUGAUUUCAUCCAUUGCUUCUUUUCAGUGGCGGAUCCAAAAAUAAAUUUUUUUGGGGUCAGUUUAUAUACAAAUAUCAAUACAAAAUAAUAAACAUAUAAGAUGAAAAAACAUAACAAUAUUUGUGCAUAUAUAUUGAAUCUAUAUUUUCUCAUAAUAUUAUGAUUUUUAAUAAAUUGUUAAAAAAUAAAUGUAAUUUUAUGUUUAUUGGCAGAACAACCAAAAAAAAAUCACUGAUAUUGAAUAAGAAAGGUAUGGUUCUAUAUGUUAUCAUUUAUUUUCAUAUGCAUUAAUAAUUUUAUUUUCUAGUUAUCAUGUAUGGGUUAGAAAACUAAAACUCUUGUUGGUUUAUGUCCAUAUGAUUUCAUAUCCCUUUUGUUUAUAAUAAAACUUCCAAUGAUCAUUUUAGUCAGUGUUAAGAGAGAAAGAGAGACACUAAUUAAAGAUACACUAACUUUAGUUAAUGUUGACAGAUAUAUAAUGUUUAAGAAAACAAAAAAAAAAGAGAAAGAGAAAAUAUAUUAAAUGUAUUAUUAAAUCUCAAUUAAUAUUAUUUAUCGAGAAUAUUCACAAGAACAUUAAAACAAAACAUUAAUAUAGUAAAUGCGUACUUUAAUGUGACAAAUAGAGUUAAUAUCUUAUAGAUAAAAAUAAAAAUUAUAUUUGUUUUGGUUGAAAAAAAGAAAGAAAAGAAGGUUUUUUUAAGAAAUGUGAAAUCGAAAGGGUCAAAACAUGAUUAAUAGAGGGCCAAUGACUGAACUUUUAUGUAGUUAAAGAAGAAAUUAAAAAAUUUAGUGGGGUUAGUAGAACCGCCUCUGCCUCUUCCCCCUUGUCCUCGAGGGUCAAGCAUGCUUGGGAGGAGCAGGACGAGUUAGUUCUUGGUUUAGCAUUCAUUGGCGGAUGGUUCGUCAAAGCUAACAUAAAUGUUCUCAAGAGAAGAAAGGAUUGGUACAGAGUACACAAUUUUUUUGAUGAUGAGAAGAAGCGUCUAGAAGAGAAACGUGCCCGCAUUGAAAAGGAACUGGAUGAUGAUGUCUAGGCUACAAUUGAUUGUCUUUUGUGUUGGAUUGUUUGGUGUUUUAUCCGCACACUCGUACUAAUUUAGUGGUAGCUUGCUGAUCUUGUCUUGUGUUCGUUUGGUGUUUUGAAACUGUUUUUUCUCUUGAUCUCCUAUGUAUUUUGCAAACCUACUCUACUUUUUUUUCUACAACGUUGUAUCUCCGACAAA